ensembl:snRNA U2 U2 spliceosomal RNA
AUUGCUUCUUGGUCUUUUGGCUAUGAUCAAGUAUAGUAUCUGUUCUUACCAGUUUAAUAUCUGCUAUGUCCUCUAUCUGAGAACAAUACAUUAAGUGGAGUUUUGGAGCUGGGAGAUGGACUAGGAGUUUGCUCUGUCCACUCCACAUGUUGACCUAGUAUUUCAGUACCUCCAGGAACAGUGCAUGCACC